rnacentral:rRNA from 1 species
AACGAACGCUGGCGGCAUGCCUAACACAUGCAAGUCGAACGAAGUCUUCGGACUUAGUGGCGCACGGGUGCGUAACGCGUGGGAAUCUGCCCUUGGGUGCGGAAUAACUUCUCGAAAGGGAUGCUAAUACCGCAUAAUGUCGUAAGACCAAAGAUUUAUCGCCCAAGGAUGAGCCCGCGUAAGAUUAGCUAGUUGGUGGGGUAAAAGCCUACCAAGGCGACGAUCUUUAGCUGGUCUGAGAGGAUGAUCAGCCACACUGGGACUGAGACACGGCCCAGACUCCUACGGGAGGCAGCAGUGGGGAAUAUUGGACAAUGGGCGAAAGCCUGAUCCAGCAAUGCCGCGUGAGUGAUGAAGGCCCUAGGGUUGUAAAGCUCUUUACCCGAGAUGAUAAU